rnacentral:rRNA from 1 species
GCUAUACAUGCAAGUAGAACGCUGAAGGAGGAGCUUGCUUCUCUGGAUGAGUUGCGAACGGGUGAGUAACGCGUAGGUAACCUGCCUGGUAGCGGGGGAUAACUAUUGGAAACGAUAGCUAAUACCGCAUAAGAGUAGAUGUUGCAUGACAUUUACUUAAAAGGUGCAAUUGCAUCACUACCAGAUGGACCUGCGUUGUAUUAGCUAGUUGGUGGGGUAACGGCUCACCAAGGCGACGAUACAUAGCCGACCUGAGAGGGUGAUCGGCCACACUGGGACUGAGACACGGCCCAGACUCCUACGGGAGGCAGCAGUAGGGAAUCUUCGGCAAUGGACGGAAGUCUGACCGAGCAACGCCGCGUGAGUGAAGAAGGUUUUCGGAUCGUAAAGCUCUGUUGUAAGAGAAGAACGAGUGUGAGAGUGGAAAGUUCACACUGUGACGGUAUCUUACCAGAAAGGGACGGCUAACUACGUGCCAGCAGCCGCGGUAAUACGUAGGUCCCGAGCGUUGUCCGGAUUUAUUGGGCGUAAAGCGAGCGCAGGCGGUUAGAUAAGUCUGAAGUUAAAGGCUGUGGCUUAACCAUAGUACGCUUUGGAAACUGUUUAACUUGAGUGCAAGAGGGGAGAGUGGAAUUCCAUGUGUAGCG